AGUGAACGCUGGCGGUAGGCCUAACACAUGCAAGUCGAACGGCAGCACAGUAAGAGCUUGCUCUUACGGGUGGCGAGUGGCGGACGGGUGAGGAAUACAUCGGAAUCUACUUUUUCGUGGGGGAUAACGUAGGGAAACUUACGCUAAUACCGCAUACGACCUACGGGUGAAAGCAGGGGAUCUUCGGACCUUGCGCGAUUGAAUGAGCCGCUGUCGGAUUAGCUAGUUGGCGGGGUAAAGGCCCACCAAGGCGACGAUCCGUAGCUGGUCUGAGAGGAUGAUCAGCCACACUGGAACUGAGACACGGUCCAGACUCCUACGGGAGGCAGCAGUGGGGAAUAUUGGACAAUGGGCGCAAGCCUGAUCCAGCCAUACCGCGUGGGUGAAGAAGGCCUUCGGGUUGUAAGGCCCUUUUGUUGGGAAAGAAAUCCAGCCGGCUAAUACCUGGUUGGGAUGACGGUACCCAAAGAAUAAGCACCGGCUAACUUCGUG
rnacentral:rRNA from 1 species